rnacentral:rRNA from 1 species
GACAGAGAGGGCAAGCGUUGCUCGGAAUCACUGGGCGUAAAGGGCGCGUAGGCGGGCUGUCAAGUCUGGGGUGAAAUGCCGCGGCUCAACCGUGGAACUGCCUUAGAUACUGACGGCCUCGAGGAAGGUAGGGGCAUGCGGAACUGUAGGUGGAGCGGUGAAAUGCGUUGAUAUCUACAGGAACUCCGGUGGUGAAAGCGGCGUGCUGGACCUUUUCUGACGCUGAGGCGCGAAAGCUAGGGGAGCAAACGGG